CGGCGAGGCAGCCAGGGAGACGGCAAAGAGGUUGGUGAGGACGGAGAGAUCCCCUCCCCGCAUGGCGAUGGUGGGCAUGAGGCGACGCCUCCAGUUCCGGCAACGUUGAGGCCUCUCCGCCAUCGCGAUCUGUAGAACGAAGCCCAUCCCGAACACCAGUCGUAGGAUGAAGGGAUUGUUCAGGGAAUGGAUCGUGGUGCGCACUUGCGCUACAGAGGGAUUGUUCAUCUUCCUGGAGGAACUUCUAUCUGGUUAGUGUUUGAGCCGGUUUGUUUAAUUUUCUUUUCUUUUCCUAAUCCAAUCUUCUUUGUGUCCUUUGUAGUAGGGACGUCACCUUGUGCUAUUGAAGGAUACUGAGAAGAAUUUUUUUCUUCAGAGAGAAGGAUACCGAGGAGAUAUUUGAUUCCAAUUGGUCUAAUUGUUGUCAGUGUUCCCCCUCAUGAUAACUCCCGCAUUCUUGAUGAAUUAAGCAUGGAAGGAUGGAAAAUCUGGAUGACGGCCAUAGUAUUGCAGAGUUCCAGUCAGAUCCUUGUUUUAUUAUUCGUCUUUUGUAGAUUGAAUUCAACUACAUUGAGACAGCACAUCAGCCGUGGCACAAUAACAAAUGGCAGCAGAGGGUUCCCACCUUGAUGAUUUUUCCGUGUAACCAAUCUAAAUAUUUAAGUGUUGUUAUAUUGGCAAAAUAAAGGCAAGUCAUCCAUAGCUUUGAAUUAUUCAAUUUCCGAUAUCUUCACGCUUCCUUGUUUCCUGCUAUUUGUAUGUAACCUUACAAAAUUAGGAUUUGGGAGAGAUUUCAUUUGCCCGUGACGGUAGUUGCUAUUUUUUUCAGGUUUGAGAGGAGCCAUUUGUGUGCAAUAGAUCUGAGAGUUGUGCCAUGGUUGUCAUUUUUGGAGGGCAAGUUUGUCUAACUUGAUAUGGGCAUGGAGCCAUCCCUGGGGAGCCAGUCAACCUGGUCCAGCGCAUUGUUGGUAGGCUCGGGGUUAUCUGGGCAUGGUAGACCGCCUCAAGGCCUUCAAGGGCUCCAUCGACCUCCAUUCAGGGAUGGCGCGGGUAUGGCGGUCAGCAGCGGCAUGGGAGGUCAUCGGCCAGCAGGAGUGCGGUACGCUGGGGUAGCCCUUCCCGUUCAUAUACCAUAUGGUAUAGAUCAGCAAGCGAUCAGUGGCUCGAACGAUUUCUUAUGCCCACAGGUUUGUAAAGUGUCCCUUUUUUGUUUGUGCAUAGAAUUGAUCCGCCCGAAAUGUUUUACGACUUAAUAUUGUAAAAUUAGCGGCGAUUCUUUUCUAUUA